GACGAACGCUGGCGGCGUGCUUAACACAUGCAAGUCGAACGAUGAAACCUAGCUUGCUAGGUCGAUUAGUGGCGAACGGGUGAGUAACACGUGACUAACCUGCCCCUUUCUCUGGGAUAACGCUCCGAAAGGAGUGCUAAUACCGGAUACUCCCAUCGAGGCACAUGCCUUGGUGUGGAAAGUUUUUCGGAAAGGGAUGGAGUCGCGGCCUAUCAGCUUGUUGGUGAGGUAACGGCUCACCAAGGCGACGACGGGUAGCCGGCCUGAGAGGGCGACCGGCCACACUGGGACUGAGACUCGGCCCAGACGUCUGCGGGAGUCAGCAGUGGGGAAUAUUGCACAAUGGGCGCAAGCAUGAUGCAGCGACGCCGCGUGAGGGAUGAAGGUCUUCGGAUUGUAAAACUCUUUCAGUAGGGACGAAGCGAAAGUGACGGUACCUAAAGACGAAGCACCGGCUAACUACGUGCCAGCCGCCGCCGCGG
rnacentral:rRNA from 1 species